UUGAUUUGCUUGAAUACCACACCAAACAUAAAGUAAGCACACAUAAGUAACACAUAAGGCACACACACACACGUAUAACAAUACCACAAUUCAAUAAUUCGAGUCUCGAGUUUGAUUGAUUGUUAGAUCGGUUUGAUUACUGAUUAGGUUAACUUUAUCGCAUUGUUACUUCCUAUCAUUCACAGAUUGAGCAGAUGAGUCGAUCGGUUCGCGUUAAAACACGUUCGAUUACUUCGAUUCUUGCUGAUUACAACACUUACUCCACAUAA
rnacentral:lncRNA from 1 species